UACGAAGGGGCUAGCGUUGUUCGGAAUUACUGGGCGUAAAGCGCACGUAGGCGGACAUUUAAGUCAGGGGUGAAAUCCCAGAGCUCAACUCUGGAACUGCCUUUGAUACUGGGUGUCUAGAGUAUGGAAGAGGUGAGUGGAAUUCCGAGUGUAGAGGUGAAAUUCGUAGAUAUUCGGAGGAACACCAGUGGCGAAGGCGGCUCACUGGUCCAUUACUGACGCUGAGGUGCGAAAGCGUGGGAGCAAACAGG
rnacentral:rRNA from 1 species